GAAAAGACGAAUUUCUUCCUCUUCAUUUAGAAAUUGGGGACUUCACCAUGAAAGCAUCUCCUUCAUUCUCCUCGAUUAACUAUGAAAUUCAGGACAAAAAUCUUUGAAAACAUCCCUCCUCUUCGUUCUCCUCCAUCAACUUAAUCUAUCACAGAAACAAAAAUACAGCAAAACGAAGAUUUGGGUUUUUUCCCCUCUCGCCAAUCAUCCAUGACAAAGGUGGUAGUAGAUGAACAAGAAAAAAUUCGAAGAGACUUCCCAAGUCAUGGGACGUAUGGUGGUAAGAUUGUUGUGGAGCUCGAUUCUAUAUCGGGAUUUUGAAACUGCUUAGUUGACAGUUCAAAUGGCGGUUACUUAAGUAAGCUCCACAAGUUAUCUACUUGCAUCUACAGUUGAAGAAACGAGCAAUUAUUGAAGAUUUCCAUGAGAAACAAGAGCAGGUGUGUGUCUACAGUUUCCUUGAUGUUUAAUUUUUCUUGGAACGGAAAGGAAAGCCAUCGCCUAUUCCCUGGAUAGAGGGAGGUAUACAAUAUAGUGAUUUACCUGAAUUGAAAUUUUGAUCAAAAUUGGGGAAAAAUUGUUUCUGGUUAUGUAAAUUAUUAAGAUGAUAAUGGAGAUUUGGUGAUGGUGGAGUGUUAGAGAUUGUGACAGACGUCGAAGACGAUGAUAGUGAGACACAAGGGUUUAGUAGCGGGGAUGAGGGAGAUUUUCCGGGGAGCGGUUUAAAUUUUUAGUGGCUAUGUAAUUAUGUAUAAAUUUUUGAUUCAUUAAAAUGAGAGUAAUUUCAACUUAUUGUUGUUUUUUUUUUAUAAUAAAUGUUUCUUAUUCCAAA